UUAUAGUAUAAUAUAAACAACUUUGGAUUGAUUCCCAACAGAUCGUUUGGUCUUUAGCGUUUAUAGACACGAUUUUAGCUAACACACCUAUACAAAUAUCUAUUACACGCAUCUAUGCAAAUUACAUUUCCUAUUAUCAACAUACGUUCCUAUUAUCAACAUGCGUUUUUACGCUAUCUAUAUCUAUGCAUAUAUCACUCGCUAUCUUAUAUACAUAUAUGCAUAUAUCCUCAAAUCCAUCUAAACACAUCCUAUUAUCAACAUGCCUAUAUGCCUAUACACCCUAUACAUACCAUCUAUGCCUAUACACCCUAUCUAUCCUCACACCCUAUACAUACAUAUAUGCAUAUAUGAAUCCCCACACCUUAUACAUACAUCUUUACACAUGCGUAUCUACGCUAUCUAUGCCUGUGCAUGUGUACUCUGAUACUCACACCCUAUAUACAUACACACACUCAUCUAUACAGCCUAUACAUACAUCUAUGCAUAUAUCACUCACACAUACAUACAUCUAUCCACGUGUUUAUGAUCUAUUUUAACAUCAUACACACAUAAUACAUCUCGUCAACGUCAUAGGGCUGGCAAGGAUGAAGGAGAAGAUGGAAACUCUGGAAUCUGGGCACAAUCUCAGCAUCUCUUCUAUCGCUGCAAAAUUGAUGAAAAUCAAUCUUGGUUACAAUCUUGGUACAUUCAUAUUACAUAUUCAUCCAAACAUCAAACAAAAAAGUUCAGACCAAACUCGUUCUUUCUAUUAUUUCAUAAAAAUUAAAGAAACCGUUCUAUUUUUCUUAGACAGAACAACUAAACGUACAUAGAUUGACUGA
rnacentral:lncRNA from 1 species